CCCUACGGGGGGCAGCAGUAGGGAAUCUUCCACAAUGGGCGAAAGCCUGAUGGAGCAACGCCGCGUGGGUGCCUCCGUUCUUCUUCUCGUACCCCCCUGUUGUUAGAUCCUCCCGUGCGUUAGAGUAACUGUUCACGUUUCGACGGUAUCUAACCAGAAAGCCACGGCUAACUACGUGCCAGCAGCCUCGGUAAUACGUAGGUGGCAAUCUUUAUCCGGCUUUAUUGGGCGUAAAGGGAACGCAGGCGGUCUUUUAAGUCUGAUGUGAAAGCCUUCGGCUUAACCUGAGUAGUGCAUUGGAAACU
rnacentral:rRNA from 1 species